GAUGAACGCUGGCGGCGUGCCUAAUACAUGCAAGUCGAGCGAACAGACGAGGAGCUUGCUCCUCUGACGUUAGCGGCGGACGGGUGAGUAACACGUGGAUAACCUACCUAUAAGACUGGGAUAACUUCGGGAAACCGGAGCUAAUACCGGAUAAUAUAUUGAACCGCAUGGUUCAAUAGUGAAAGAAGGUUUUGCUGUCACUUGUAGAUGGAUUCGCGGCUUAUUAGCUAGUUGGUAAGGUAACGGCUUACCAAGGCCACGAUGCGUAGCCGACCUGAGAGGGUGGUGGGCCACACUGGAACUGAGACACGUUCCAGACUCCUACGGGAGGCAGCAGUAGGGAAUCUUCCGCAAUGGGCGAAGGCUGGACGGAGCAACGCCGCGUGGUUGAUGAAGGUCUUCGGAUCGUAAAACUCUGUUAUUAGGGAAGAACAAAUGUGUAAGUAACUAUGCACGUCUUGACGGUACCUAAUCAGAAAGCCACGGCUAACUACGUG
rnacentral:rRNA from 1 species